UGCCCGCGGGGCCCACUUGCAGGGAUGACAGCCUCUGAGGGGCCCACCCGGGCUCAUCUUCCGGAAGACCCCGGCGGUAGGGGUCCGAGGAGGGACCCUGCGCACAGGGCCCCGCAGAUCCGGGACCAGACGGCGGAAGGGGCGCUCCCGCCUGGAGGAAUACCAUGAUCAACUAGCCAAUGACUUACGUCCAUGCAAGUCAGACCGUUCUGCUUGCUGCUGUGAUUCUGCUGUCCGCCACAGUGACCAUGCCCAUCUUUCUCUUUGGCAGUGGUGUGCUGCCACUUGGCCCCUGCUAUGCUAGGAUCCAAUUACUACUAUUUCAUUUAGGUUUUUUGGUUCAGUGGCUGCAGGUCCCACUGGCCUACAGAGAAGAGCAAUCACCGACCACUUCAGGAAUGCUGGAGCUCCUCUCACAAAUUGCUAUAGACUGAAUACUUGUGUUCCCCCAACAUUCAAACGUUGAAGCCAUAACCCCCAGUGUGAUAGCAUUUGGAGACUUUGGGAGGUAAGUAGGUCAUCAGAGUUGAACCUCUAUAAAUGGGAUUUAGUGCUCUUGGAAGAAGAAAGAUGAGAGAGUUGAUCUCUUUCCACCACGUGAGGAUACAGCAACAAGGUGGCCAUUGUCUGCAAACCAGGAAGAAGUUUCUCACCAGACACCACAUUGAACCUGCCAGCACCUUGAACCUGGACUUCCCACUCUCUGGAACUGUGAGAAAGAAUUCUUUGUUGUUUAAACCGCUCAGACUAUGGUAUUUAUCAUAGCAGCCCAGACUGACUAACACAAGCCCAUGGGCCAAACCCAACCUGCUGCUUGUUUUUGUACAGCUGUCAAGCUAAGAAUGGUUUUUACAUUUUCUAACAAUAGAAAAAAAAUAUGAAAGAAAGAAUAAUAUUUUGUGACAAGUGAGAAUUAUGUGAAAUUUGUGUUUCAGUAUCCAUAAAUAAGGCCUUAUUGGAACACAGCAAUGCUCAUUCAUUUAUGUACUGUCUACAGCAACUUUUGUGUUGCAAGGGCAGAGGUGAGCAAUUGCAAUAGACACUACAAUGGUUCACUUGGCAGAAAAAGGAUGCUGACCUAUGUUCUAAAUCACUGAUCACCUUGUGCUGGGCCCUUUCUUGGUAGUUAAUAUGGCAUAUACACUGUCCAACACCCCAACUACACUAUGAUUGCUUUCCUAAUAUGAGACAGAAGAUGGACUGACUCAGAUUUGAGUACUGAUACAGACCUGAAUUGGAGAAGGCAAUGGCACCCCACUCCAGUAAUUUUGCCUAGAAAAUCCCAUGGACAGACGAGCCUGGUGGGCUGCCGUCUAUGGGGUCGCACAGAGUCGGACACAACUGAAGUGACGCAGCAGCAACAGACCUGAAUGUAAAGUACUGAAGGUUUUAGUUUUAUAAUGUGAAAAAAAGAGGAACAACACCUUCAAGAUUGUCAUACAGUCUUAAAAACCCAAAUGUAAAGUCUAAAAAAGUCCUCUUUUAAAAAGUUUAUUUAUUUAUUUUUUCCUGCUCUGGGUCUCUGUUGUUGUGUACAGGCUUUCUCUAGUUGUGGUGAGCAGGCCCUACUCUCUGAGGGAGUGUGGGCUUAUUGUAGUGGCUUCUCUUCUUGCAGAGCAUGAUCUCUAGAGCAUGCAGGCUCAAUAAUUGUAACACACACGCUUUGUUGCCCUACACCAUGAAGAAUCUGCCUGGACCAGGAAUCGAACCCAUGUCCCUUGCAUCGGCACUUGAAUUCUUAAUCAUUGGACCACCAGGGAAGCCCCUCUUUUACUUUUUGAAAUUUUUAUCAAGAUCUUCCUUCACCUGGACUUGCCUACUCGGUAGGUUUUAAAUGCUUGUUGUGGGACUGAAUGCUUCAAUAUUUGCAUGAAUAAAGCCUAAAAUUCUAGUACAUCCUACAUUCUAGUAGACUGGAAUGGUACAAUGUAUGGACUUGUUCUUCCUCUUCCUUGAAAAUAAGAUCCUAAAACCAAAUACUUUAGUGAAUAAAGCAAAUAGUAUUGAAACUGAGAAAAGAGUCUAGUCCUGCCACCUUUUAUCUGUUCUUACAAUAAUUGUUGUGUUAAUGCUAUCAAUCUUAUCUUGUAUACCUAUGAGGGACACUGUUCCUAGUCCUCUAUAUUUCCCUAGAUGAUAAAUCGUAGAGACAGGGACCUUUAAAGCUUGAAGGGACAUUCACUGUCACAUGCCCAUGGGGGAAGAAUCCAUGGUAAUAGCAGAAUUUGAACUCUGGUCUCCUAUCCACCCAGUCCUGGAGUUGCCUACCUUGUGCCAAAAAGCCUUACUUGAAGCAUGUAGGUACUUGAUAAGUAUUUGAAGCAGCUAUUGACUUUCAUUUCCAUUCUUUUUUCCAGCUUUUAUGCUGUAUUUACUUAGCAUUGUGGCAGCUUGAAAGAGUUUUUAUAAGUAGAGUGGUAGAGUUAGACAAACUUAGAUUUGAAUCCUGAUUUUGCCACUAACUAGCUGUGUGACCUCUGGCAAUGCCAUCAGCUCCAUCUUCAAAAUAUAGCCUUUAUUGGAGCAGGCUAGAGAGGCAGGGUCUUAGAUGUGCAAUAUCACUGUCUUUAAAGAUAGAGAGCCUUCAGAAAGGAACACAGAACUGCUGACCUGGUGUUUUUAGCCAAUGAGACCUGUACUGGACUUCUCACCCACAGAGCUAUAAGAGAUCAAGCCCUGAGCAUUUGGAGUGGGAGCACUUACUCCAAGACCCUAGACUACCAGAGAACUAACCCUAGGGAGUAUCAAAUAGUGAGAACUCACACAAAGGAAACCACUUGAAUACAAGACCUGGCAUCACCCAACCACCAGUAUCACCCUGUGUAGGAUGCCUCAUGUAAACAA